AAGAUAAAUUCAUGUAAGAUGUUAUUUCAUUUUAAAAAUCUAGGGUCUGUGGGAGGGGACAGAUUCUUUUUAGGUAGAGGACAAGAGGAGUGGACUCCAUCUACAUAGCUAUGGCAGAGUCACACCCAUGUUGGGUUCAUAUGGUUAAAUUUCACAGCAGUUGACUUUCCUGGAUGUACUGAUUGAAUCAAAGAAACCCUAUCUCAAAAACAAACAAAGAAAACAUCUAUUCCUUUUAGAGACAUUCAGAUACGAAGUUGCCCAACUCAUGAUGUAUAUUUUAUCAAAGACUGAAAAUAGCAGAAGCUGGAGUUGGACAAGCUGACUCUAAACGGGCUGAGCUGAUUGAAAGCCGCAAGAAAGACGUAAACAUCCCCUUAGUGGAGAAUGGGCGGUUGACAGAGGUUCCCCACUGUUUCUGCACUGCUAAAAGCCGAGGUGACAGUGCCCAAAGAACCCGUGACACUUAAAUGUGGCUAACAGAUUUUCUGUUGUUUGUGUGUUUUUAGGUAUGGUUGUCCUGUGAUGCCUUGGCUGCUCUAGAACUUAGGAUCCCUUUCCUCCUCUUUCCUAUGAGCUAGGAUUACUGGUGCACGCCCCCAUGCCUGGCUACUUCCUUACUGUGUUUAGGGAUUACACUGUACAGUACAUAGCCCAUUAUAUCGUUAUGUUAAACCGCUGGUUUUUUGUUUUUUUUUUUUUGUUACUGGUUUAUAUGUGCACAAGUGUAUGCAUAUGUGUGCACACGGACUAUAGAACGUGUGGGUCGGGACAGCUUGUAGACGUUGGUUCUUUCAUUGUGUAGCAUAGAAGGACCAACCUCAGGUAGCCAUGCUUGGCAGCAAGCACCUCUACCAGCUGAGCCGUCUCACUGCAGACUCAGUUUUUACUGCGUUCUGGUUUGAAACAGGGUCUCUGCAAUAUAUAGCCCAAGGUGGCCUCAAACUCUGCCUCCCAAGUGGGAUUCCAGGCAUGCGCUACCACGCCGGGCUGCCAACAGGGUUUUAUAUUGCUUAGAGCCCCGUGAACACUCAGGGCACUGCGUUAGCCUUAACACAUCUGCAUGCGGUUCCUGCCUGUGCGCAGGGUAAGAUCCCAGCUGGAUCAGGUUUGAGCUCUGCAGAUGUUUUAACAUUUAAAAGUAUCUGUAUAAAACACACAUGCUUUUUGUGCUCAUUAAUUGUUUUCCUUUGAUCGGUAGCAUUUUUCAGUGGAGAAAUGUUGAUGUUCGACAGUGACCCUCUGUUCCCUUCACCUGUGUUACACUCUCUACCCCAGACUUGGUUGUGUAGUCUUAGUGACUUUCCUGUUGUACACAUGUGUGCUUUAUGUGUUAAUACGUUAAUGUCUUCCCUGAAUAAAAAUGACGUUUCUCUCGUGUGGAGCUUGUCCUU
rnacentral:lncRNA from 1 species